GACGAACGCUGGCGGCGUGCUUAACACAUGCAAGUCGAACGGAAAGGCCCUGCUUUUGUGGGGUGCUCGAGUGGCGAACGGGUGAGUAACACGUGAGUAACCUGCCCUUGACUUUGGGAUAACUUCAGGAAACUGGGGCUAAUACCGGAUAGGAGCUCCUGCUGCAUGGGGGGGGUUGGAAAGUUUCGGCGGUUGGGGAUGGACUCGCGGCUUAUCAGCUUGUUGGUGGGGUAGUGGCUUACCAAGGCUUUGACGGGUAGCCGGCCUGAGAGGGUGACCGGCCACAUUGGGACUGCGAUACGGCCCAGACUCCUACGGGAGGCAGCAGUGGGGAAUAUUGCACAAUGGGCGGAAGCCUGAUGCAGCAACGCCGCGUGCGGGAUGACGGCCUUCGGGUUGUAAACCGCUUUCGCCUGUGACGAAGAGUGAGUGACGGUAAUGGGUAAAGAAGCACCGGCUAACUACGUG
rnacentral:rRNA from 1 species